rnacentral:rRNA from 1 species
UGCAGAAUCCCGUGAACCAUCGAGUCUUUGAACGCAAGUUGCGCCCGAAGUCUUCAGACCGAGGGCACGUCUGCCUGGGCGUCACAC